rnacentral:rRNA from 1 species
UACGGAGGGUGCAAGCGUUAUCCGGAAUCACUGGGUUUAAAGGGUGCGUAGGCGGAUAGAUAAGUCAGAGGUGAAAGGUAGUCGCUUAACGAUUAAAUUGCCUUUGAUACUGUUUAUCUUGAAUUAGGUUGAGGUUGGCGGAAUGAGACAUGUAGCGGUGAAAUGCAUAGAUAUGUCUUAGAACACCGAUUGCGAAGGCAGCUGACUGGACCUUAAUUGACGCUGAGGCACGAAAGCGUGGGGAUCAAACAGG